rnacentral:rRNA from 1 species
GAAUAUUGGACAAUGGGCGAAAGCCUGAUCCAGCCAUGCCGCGUGUGUGAAGAAGGCCUUUUGGUUGUAAAGCACUUUAAUCGAGGAGGAGGCUACUUAGAUUAAUACUCUAGGAUAGUGGACGUUGCUAGCUGACUAAGCACCGGCGAACUAUGUCCCAGCAGCCGCGGUAAUACAGAGGGUGCGAGCGUUAAUCGGAUUUACUGGUCGUAAAGCGUGCGUAGGCGGCUUCUUAAGUCGGAUGUGAAAUCCCUGAGCUUAACUUAGGAAUUGCAUUCGAUACUGGGAAGCUAGAGUAUGGGAGAGGAUGGUAGAAUUCCAGGUGUAGCAGUGAAAUGCGUAGAGAUCUGGAGGAAUACCGAUGGCGAAGGCAGCCAUCUGGCCUAAUACUGACGCUGAGGUACGAAAGCAUGGGGAGCAAAC